rnacentral:rRNA from 1 species
AGAGCGAACGCUGGCGGCAGGCCUAACACAUGCAAGUCGAGCGCCCGUAGCAAUACGGGAGCGGCAGACGGGAUAGUAACACGUGGGAACGCGCCCUUCGGUUCGGAAUAACUCAGGGAAACUUGAGCUAAUACCGUAUACGCCCUACGGGGGAAAGAUUUAUCGGGAUUGGAUGAGCCCGCGUUGGAUUAGCUAGUUGGUGGGGUAAUGGCCUACCAAGGCGACGAUCCAUAGCUGGUCUGAGAGGAUGAUCAGCCACACUGGGACUGAGACACGGCCCAGACUCCUACGGGAGGCAGCAGUGGGGAAUAUUGGACAAUGGGCGCAAGCCUGAUCCAGCCAUGCCGCGUGAGUGAUGAAGGCCUUAGGGUUGUAAAGCUCUUUCAGUGGGGAAGAUAAUGACGGUACCCACAGAAGAAGCCCCGGCUAACUUCGUGCCAGCAGCCGC